AACUGAGGGGGGCUGCUCCUAGUACGAGAGGACCGGAGUGGACGCAUCACUGGUGUUCGGGUUGUCAUGCCAAUGGCACUGCCCGGUAGCUAAAUGCGGAAGAGAUAAGUGCUGAAAGCAUCUAAGCACGAAACUUGCCCCGAGAUGAGUUCUCCCUGACUCCUUGAGAGUCCUGAAGGAACGUUGAAGACGACGACGUUGAUAGGCCGGGUGUGUAAGCGCAGCGAUGCGUUGAGCUAACCGGUACUAAUGAACCGUGAGGCUUAACCUUACAACGCCGAAGGUGUUU
rnacentral:rRNA from 1 species